GGAUGACACUUUUGAAUAACACUCAGGAAAUGUGACAAUCCUGGAAGCAGCUGAAGGAAUACAGGAUUUGUGUCAGAGGAAUUAGCAUAUAGCCACAAGUUGUCUCUGGCUGUAAUGCUGGCUGACAUUGCAUGGAAGGGGCAGAGAAUUCAGAAGCAGAACUGAGAGACCAACAGAAGACCCUCCAGUCAUCAGGUGAGUAGCAAUGGUGCUUUGGACCAGCAGUUCAAAUGCCACAGCAGGAGAGAAUGCCAUCAGAUCCCAGAUAGAUUGAAAAGGAGAUCCAAACAAAAAGUUGUGCAUUUCCCAACCAUUGGUGGAAAGUGGUUGGCCUGCCUCACCUGCACAAUGAAACAGAGGCAGAAUAUUUCCCAUUAUAUAUCCAACUACCUGAAAAAUAGACUCAGAUGAGUAUAACCAGAAACUGAACACAAUGGGGCCAGCGGCACUACUAAAGGUUAAAGUUCUUUCUCAUUUCCUCUUCCUUCCCCGCAAGAUAUUUCAGUUUUCAAUGUCUCUGUGCAGAGAGGAAGUAAAAAUGUCUCAUUUCAGAAGACUGUUACACUUCCAACAACAACAACGAAAGCAUCAAAUCAUAGACCAGAUACUGCUUUUAGCUAUGAUUUUACUAAAAGUCCAUUCUUUGUUAAGACAGAUUUUUCUCAUUUCAGACAUUUUCAAUGUAAGCAUGUUAGAAGUAUGUCAAUUAGUUUUGACCAUUCUGGGAGAAAAUGCACUCACUGAGCAUUUUGUAGCCUUCCCGUGAUCUCUCAGGAUUAACACCAGGCUGGACGGCUCCCUCUACCAGACACCCUGAUACCUCACUGUUGCUCCAUUUCUUUCCUGCAUGUUCUCCCAUCUUAUGCUUUCCCAAUAGGUCUAGUAUUCAUUUUGUAGAUCCCUGAAUCCUUAGUAGGUGAGUCUGGAACAUGAGAGAGCCACACUGACUAAGCCUUUCCCGGAGCAUCUGCC